rnacentral:rRNA from 1 species
GACGGGACCCGCACAAGCAGCGGAGCGUGUGGUUUAAUUCGUUGCUACACGAAGAACCCUUACCAGGCCUUGACAUGCUAGGGAACCCGGGUGAAAGCCUGGGGUGCCCCGCGAGGGAGCCCUAGCACAGGUGCUGCAUGGCCGUCGUCAGCUCGUGCCGUGAGGUGUUGGGUUAAGUCCCGCAACGAGCGCAACCCCCGCCGUUAGUUGCCAGCGGUUCGGCCGGGCACUCUAACGGGACUGCCCGCGAAAGCGGGAGGAAGGAGGGGACGACGUCUGGUCAGCAUGACCCUUACGGCCUGGGCGACACACGUGCUACAAUGCCCACUACAAAGCGAGGCCACCCGGCAACGGGGAGCUAAUCGCAAAAAGGUGGGCCCAGUUCGGAUUGGGGUCUGCAACCCGACCCCAUGAAGCCGGAAUCGCUAGUAAUCGCGGAUCAGCCAUGCCGCGGUGAAUACGUUCCCGGGCCUU